GACGAACGCUGCCGGCGUGCUUAACACAUGCAAGUCGAACGGAAAGGCCCUGCUUUUGUGGGGUGCUCGAGUGGCGAACGGGUGAGUAACACGUGAGUAACCUGCCCUUGACUUUGGGAUAACUUCAGGAAACUGGGGCUAAUACCGGAUAGGAGCUCCUGCUGCAUGGUGGGGGUUGGAAAGUUUCGGCGGUUGGGGAUGGACUCGCGGCUUAUCAGCUUGUUGGUGGGGUAGUGGCUUACCAAGGCUGUGACGGGUAGCCGGCCUGAGAGGGUGACCGGCCACAUUGGGACUGAGAUACGGCCCAGACUCCUACGGGAGGCAGCAGUGGGGAAUAUUGCACAAUGGGCGGAAGCCUGAUGCAGCAACGCCGCGUGCGGGAUGACGGCCUUCGGGUUGUAAACCGCUUUCGCCUGUGACGAAGCGUGAGUGACGGUAAUGGGUAAAGAAGCACCGGCUAACUACGUG
rnacentral:rRNA from 1 species